CCCGCGCUACCCCCGCUGUCCAGUGAGUGGCGGAAGCCCUCACCACUCACCGGAUCUAUUCCCGCCGCUUCUUUCGUCGGGGAUUCCCACCCUCGGCUACCUAUUUCCUUGCCAUAUCGCCGAUUUCCGCCCUCGGCCGCCUAUGUCCAAGCCUGAGUUGUCGGUCAGAACUUGAUUCCUUCAAGACCAGACCAAAUCGGAGCUUUUUGUGUAAGUUCGGUGGUGGAUGAGUUAGAACUCACGCCUCUCACCAAGCGAAAUCAAAACUAGAGCAAGAGAAAAGCUGGAGAAGGAGCAGAUGGAGAGGAAACAGAGGGCAAAGCUCAAGCUAGAUAGAGAGAGAAAGGUCAAGCAGGAAGCUGCUCGGCAGUGGGAAGCAACAAAAGUGACUCAGCGGUAGCGCCGCCUCGAUGCUGCUGAAGCUGAAUUCAAGGUUAGAUUUUCUUUUUCUCCAUUGAUCAUUUGCUAGUGCAGUUGACAAUGGGUUGAAUUUGAUUGCAUCUUUGAUGUUUCAGUUGCUUGAUAAAUAUUUGCAGGUUAAUUAAUUGCUUUGGAUUUUAGUAAAAUGUGAUCUUUAAUUCAAGCAACGGUUAAUCAAGCAGAGUGUUUCACAUUUUCUAUGUAUUCUCAAGGUGAAUCAAAUUAAAGCUUAUGUGCCUUCCUCCUUAUUGCCUUCAGUUUUUUGUACUGGCCCCAGUAAUUCGUCUGUCCUAAUUCCGUCCAAGUUUACUUA